rnacentral:rRNA from 1 species
UCCUACGGGAGGCAGCAGUGAGGAAUAUUGCGCAAUGGGGGCAACCCUGACGCAGCAACGCCGCGUGUGGGAAGAAGGCUUUCGGGUUGUAAACCACUUUUGCCCGGGACGAAAGGGGGGACCUGAAUAAGGUUGCCCGAUGACGGUACCGGGAGAAUAAGCCACGGCUAACUCUGUGCCAGCAGCCGCGGUAAGACAGAGGUGGCAAGCGUUGUUCGGAGUUACUGGGCGUAAAGAGUCUGUAGGUGGUCUGUCAAGUCUUUGGUGAAAGGCCGUGGCUUAACCAUGGGAAUGCCAAAGAGACUGGCAGACUGGAGGCUGGGAGAGGGAAGCGGAAUUUCUGGUGUACCGGUGAAAUGCGUAGAUAUCAGAAGGAAGCCCGGUGGCGAAGGCGGCUUCCUGGAACAGCCCUGACACUGAGAGACGAAAGCGUGGGGAGCAAACAGGAUUAGAUACCCUGGUAGUCCACGCCUUAAACGAUGGGUAUUAAGUGUGGGAGGGUUAAACCUCCCGUGCCGCAGCCAACGCAGUAAGUACCCCGCCUGGGGA